rnacentral:lncRNA from 1 species
UGGGCACUUGCAGCAUGGUGUGAAGCUGCUGCUGUGGCUUAGUUCAGUUGUGCUGUUUUAUAGUCUUGCUUUUGACCAGUUACCAAUUCCCUCUGAUUUUUGCUUUAAUUGCCAGGGGGACAAAGGUGCGAUGGGAAUCCCUGGGCGGCCGGGACUAAAGGGGCAAUCUGGAGAGAAGGGUGCUCCAGGAGAAGCUGGCAUGUCCAUCAUUGGGCCCCGUGGCCCACCCGGACAGCCUGGAACAAGAGGUUUUCCUGGAUUCCCGGGCCCUAUUGGCUUGGAUGGCAAACCGGUAAGCAGAGAACUCCUCUGCAGGCUUCUGCCCUGCCCCAGUCCCACUGGGCUGGAACCUGGGUGUUACACCCUGUGUUUGAAGGGGAUUGUUUUGCAAUGCCAUGCACAUGCAUGGAUUAAAACAAAACGAGGAGGUUGGCAGGCAGCAGGAUGCCACAGAUGCCUUGGGGGAGAUGCA